CGAUAGUAGAGGGGCAUUAUGUUUUCUGGUCUGUGCGUCCGUUCGUUCGUCCGUCCGUCUGUUCGUUCGUUCGUCUGUCCCGCUUCAGGUUAAAGUUUUUGGUCGAGGUAGUUUUUGAUGAAGUUGAAGUCCAAUCGACUUCAAACUUGGUACACAUGUUCCCUAUGAUAUGAUCUUUCUAAUUUUAAUGCCAAAUAAGAGAUUUUACCCCAAUUUCAGGGUCCACUGAACAUAGAAAAUGAUAGUGCGAG
rnacentral:lncRNA from 1 species